rnacentral:rRNA from 1 species
CGUGUAGGCGGUUUGUUAAGUCUGAUGUGAAAGCCCCGGGCUCAACCCGGGAAGUGCAUUGGAAACUGGCAAACUUGAGUACGGGAGAGGAAAGUGGAAUUUCGAGUGUAGGGGUGAAAUCCGUAGAUAUUCGAAGGAACACCAGUGGCGAAGGCGGCUUUCUGGACCGAUACUGACGCUGAGACGCGAAAGCGUGGGGAGCAAACAGGAUUAGAUACCCUGGUAGUCC